rnacentral:rRNA from 1 species
GACGAACGUUGGCGGCGUGCUUAAUACAUGCAAGUCCACUGAAGCAGUGGUAGCAAUAUCGCUGUGGAGGUGGCGCACGGGUGAGCAACACGUAGGUAAUCUGCCUUCAGGUCUGGCAUAACUCCGGGAAACCGGGGCUAAUAGCAGAUGAUGCAGCGGCUCGACAUCGAGACAGUUGUUAAAGCUAUGGCGCCUGAAGAUGAGCCUGCGUCUGAUUAGCUAGUUGGCGGGGUAACGGCCCACCAAGGCAACGAUCAGUAGCUGGUCUGAGAGGAUGAUCAGCCACACUGGAACUGAGACAUGGUCCAGACUCCUACGGGAGGCAGCAGUAAGGAAUAUUGCUCAAUGGGAGAAAUCCUGAAGCAGCAAUGCCGCGUGAGGGACGAAGGGCCUUUGCUUGUAAACCUCUGUAGUGAGAGAAAAAAAUCCCAAUCUUUGGGACAUGAUGGUAUCUCAAAAGUAAGCCCCGGCUAACUACGUG